UACAGAGGGGGCAAGCGUUGUUCGGAAUUACUGGGCGUAAAGGGCGCGUAGGCGGCCUGUUAAGUCGAACGUGAAAUCCCCGGGCUCAACCCGGGAACUGCGUCCGAUACUGGCAGGCUUGAAUCCGGGAGAGGGAUGCGGAAUUCCAGGUGUAGCGGUGAAAUGCGUAGAUAUCUGGAGGAACACCGGUGGCGAAGGCGGUUCUCUGGGCAUUACCUGACGCUGAGGAGCGAAAGCAUGGGGAGCGAACAGG
rnacentral:rRNA from 1 species